rnacentral:lncRNA from 1 species
UAAACUGUGUCUCGCCUGCUAUGUAACCUUUGAAAUCUAAGACCUGGCAUUGUGAUCUGAAGAUAAACUGCCAGCAGGAGCCACAGAGGACUUCCCAUCCAGAAAAAUCACACACUGUAACUAACGCAACUGGCUUUCCUUUGGCUUGUGAAACAGGAAAAGAUUAAGAAGGAGAGAAUGAGGCAGGCAACAGAAAGAGAGGAGGAGAGAUGAGAGAGACAGAAGCUCUGCUGCAGAACACACCUCAUCUCCAUUUUAGCUGGAGGGAGAGAGAUUCAGUCAGUGUCAAUUUACUCUUCAGCUCAAGUGACAGAGAGAGAGAGGAAAGAUAGGGAAGUGAUAUCUCAGGAAUCUUCAAAAAUCCACAAACGUCUGACUGAGAGGGAGAAGAAGGAGAGAAAAAAAACAUUCUGGGAUGUGAAGCAUUUGCAAAGAAAGCAAAGGAAGAAAGGAGGAAAUGACAGAGAGAGAUGUAGUCGGUGCUUCAGUUGCGUGAGCCGCCACGCUGGGAGUCCUUCACCUGUGGCCAGGAUGUGAGAUCGAUAGUGUGACAACAAAGGCCGCCAUCGAGCUACAGCCAGUCCCCGAUGUUCUACCACCAACCAAAGUUAUACAUAAAAAACAUUUGUUUGGGUCCUUGACUACAAGGGGAACUUAGACGUUUCAGGUUUUUUGAAUGAGGACAUUGAACCAUGUGAUCUUUUUUGCACACACACCUUGAAACUGUUAAUAACACAUCUUAAUACACAAUUCUGGUCCAAAUGAUUCAUCUCGCAUCAUCUUAACAAACUCUUCCUCACCUUGUCUGAAUCAGC